rnacentral:rRNA from 1 species
UUAAGCGACUAAGCGUACACGGUGGAUGCCCUGGCAGUCAGAGGCGAUGAAGGACGUGCUAAUCUGCGAUAAGCGUCGGUAAGGUGAUAUGAACCGUUAUAACCGGCGAUUUCCGAAUGGGGAAACCCAGUGUGAUUCGUCACACUAUCAUUAACUGAAUCCAUAGGUUAAUGAGGCGAACCGGGGGAACUGAAACAUCUAAGUACCCCGAGGAAAAGAAAUCAACCGAGAUUCCCCCAGUAGCGGCGAGCGAACGGGGAGCAGCCCAGAGCCUGAAUCAGUGUGUGUGUUAGUGGAAGCGUCUGGAAAGGCGCGCGAUACAGGGUGACAGCCCCGUACACAAAAAUGCACAUGCUGUGAGCUCGAUGAGUAGGGCGGGACACGUGGUAUCCUGUCUGAAUAUGGGGGGACCAUCCUCCAAGGCUAAAUACUCCUGACUGACCGAUAGUGAACCAGUACCGUGAGGGAAAGGCGAAAAGAACCCCGGCGAGGGGAGUGAAAAAGAACCUGAAACCGUGUACGUACAAGCAGUGGGAGCACGCUUAGGCGUGUGACUGCGUACCUUUUGUAUAAUGGGUCAGCGACUUAUAUUCUGUAGCAAGGUUAACCGAAUAGGGGAGCCGAAGGGAAACCGAGUCUUAACUGGGCGUUAAGUUGCAGGGUAUAGACCCGAAACCCGGUGAUCUAGCCAUGGGCAGGUUGAAGGUUGGGUAACACUAACUGGAGGACCGAACCGACUAAUGUUGAAAAAUUAGCGGAUGACUUGUGGCUGGGGGUGAAAGGCCAAUCAAACCGGGAGAUAGCUGGUUCUCCCCGAAAGCUAUUUAGGUAGCGCCUCGUGAAUUCAUCUCCGGGGGUAGAGCACUGUUUCGGCAAGGGGGUCAUCCCGACUUACCAACCCGAUGCAAACUGCGAAUACCGGAGAAUGUUAUCACGGGAGACACACGGCGGGUGCUAACGUCCGUCGUGAAGAGGGAAACAACCCAGACCGCCAGCUAAGGUCCCAAAGUCAUGGUUAAGUGGGAAACGAUGUGGGAAGGCCCAGACAGCCAGGAUGUUGGCUUAGAAGCAGCCAUCAUUUAAAGAAAGCGUAAUAGCUCACUGGUCGAGUCGGCCUGCGCGGAAGAUGUAACGGGGCUAAACCAUGCACCGAAGCUGCGGCAGCGACGCUGAUGCGUUGUUGGGUAGGGGAGCGUUCUGUAAGCCUGUGAAGGUGUGCUGUGAGGCAUGCUGGAGGUAUCAGAAGUGCGAAUGCUGACAUAAGUAACGAUAAAGCGGGUGAAAAGCCCGCUCGCCGGAAGACCAAGGGUUCCUGUCCAACGUUAAUCGGGGCAGGGUGAGUCGACCCCUAAGGCGAGGCCGAAAGGCGUAGUCGAUGGGAAACAGGUUAAUAUUCCUGUACUUGGUGUUACUGCGAAGGGGGGACGGAGAAGGCUAUGUUGGCCGGGCGACGGUUGUCCCGGUUUAAGCGUGUAGGCUGGUUUUCCAGGCAAAUCCGGAAAAUCAAGGCUGAGGCGUGAUGACGAGGCACUACGGUGCUGAAGCAACAAAUGCCCUGCUUCCAGGAAAAGCCUCUAAGCAUCAGGUAACAUCAAAUCGUACCCCAAACCGACACAGGUGGUCAGGUAGAGAAUACCAAGGCGCUUGAGAGAACUCGGGUGAAGGAACUAGGCAAAAUGGUGCCGUAACUUCGGGAGAAGGCACGCUGAUAUGUAGGUGAAGUCCCUUGCGGAUGGAGCUGAAAUCAGUCGAAGAUACCAGCUGGCUGCAACUGUUUAUUAAAAACACAGCACUGUGCAAACACGAAAGUGGACGUAUACGGUGUGACGCCUGCCCGGUGCCGGAAGGUUAAUUGAUGGGGUUAGCCGCAAGGCGAAGCUCUUGAUCGAAGCCCCGGUAAACGGCGGCCGUAACUAUAACGGUCCUAAGGUAGCGAAAUUCCUUGUCGGGUAAGUUCCGACCUGCACGAAUGGCGUAAUGAUGGCCAGGCUGUCUCCACCCGAGACUCAGUGAAAUUGAACUCGCUGUGAAGAUGCAGUGUACCCGCGGCAAGACGGAAAGACCCCGUGAACCUUUACUAUAGCUUGACACUGAACAUUGAGCCUUGAUGUGUAGGAUAGGUGGGAGGCUUUGAAGUGUGGACGCCAGUCUGCAUGGAGCCGACCUUGAAAUACCACCCUUUAAUGUUUGAUGUUCUAACGUUGACCCGUAAUCCGGGUUGCGGACAGUGUCUGGUGGGUAGUUUGACUGGGGCGGUCUCCUCCUAAAGAGUAACGGAGGAGCACGAAGGUUGGCUAAUCCUGGUCGGACAUCAGGAGGUUAGUGCAAUGGCAUAAGCCAGCUUGACUGCGAGCGUGACGGCGCGAGCAGGUGCGAAAGCAGGUCAUAGUGAUCCGGUGGUUCUGAAUGGAAGGGCCAUCGCUCAACGGAUAAAAGGUACUCCGGGGAUAACAGGCUGAUACCGCCCAAGAGUUCAUAUCGACGGCGGUGUUUGGCACCUCGAUGUCGGCUCAUCACAUCCUGGGGCUGAAGUAGGUCCCAAGGGUAUGGCUGUUCGCCAUUUAAAGUGGUACGCGAGCUGGGUUUAGAACGUCGUGAGACAGUUCGGUCCCUAUCUGCCGUGGGCGCUGGAGAACUGAGGGGGGCUGCUCCUAGUACGAGAGGACCGGAGUGGACGCAUCACUGGUGUUCGGGUUGUCAUGCCAAUGGCACUGCCCGGUAGCUAAAUGCGGAAGAGAUAAGUGCUGAAAGCAUCUAAGCACGAAACUUGCCCCGAGAUGAGUUCUCCCUGACCCUUUAAGGGUCCUGAAGGAACGUUGAAGACGACGACGUUGAUAGGCCGGGUGUGUAAGCGCAGCGAUGCGUUGAGCUAACCGGUACUAAUGAACCGUGAGGCUUAACCUU